AUUACCGAGUUUUCGAGCUCCGGCUCGACUCUCCCACCCUUUGUGAACGUACCUCUGUUGCUUUGGCGGCUCCGGCCGCCAAAGGACCUUCAAACUCCAGUCAGUAAACGCAGACGUCUGAUAAACAAGUUAAUAAACUAAAACUUUCAACAACGGAUCUCUUGGUUCUGGCAUCGAUGAAGAACGCAGCGAAAUGCGAUAAGUAAUGUGAAUUGCAGAAUUCAGUGAAUCAUCGAAUCUUUGAACGCACAUUGCGCCCCUUGGUAUUCCGGGGGGCAUGCCUGUUCGAGCGUCAUUACAACCCUCAAGCUCUGCUUGGAAUUGGGCACCGUCCUCACUGCGGACGCGCCUCAAAGACCUCGGCGGUGGCUGUUCAGCCCUCAAGCGUAGUAGAAUACACCUCGCUUUGGAGCGGUUGGCGUCGCCCGCCGGACGAACCUUCUGAACUUUUCUCAAGGUUGACCUCGGAUCAGGUAGGGAUACCCGCUGAACUUAAGCA
rnacentral:rRNA from 1 species